CCUACGGGUGGCAGCAGUCGAGAAUUUUUGACAAUGGGGGAAACCCUGAUCGAGCGACGCCGCGUGGAGGAUGAAGGUCUUCGGAUUGUAAACUCCUGUCAUUGGGGAACAAGUCGCUUACGUUAACUGCGUGAGCGUUGAUAGUACCCGAAGAGGAAGAGACGGCUAACUCUGUGCCAGCAGCCGCGGUAAUACAGAGGUCUCAAGCGUUGUUCGGAUUCAUUGGGCGUAAAGGGUGCGUAGGCGGCGCGGUAAGUCGGGUGUGAAAUCUCGGAGCUUAACUCCGAAACUGCAUUCGAUACUGCCGUGCUUGAGGACUGGAGAGGAGACUGGAAUUUACGGUGUAGCGGUGAAAUGCGUAGAUAUCGUAAGGAAGACCAGUGGCGAAGGCGGGUCUCUGGACAGUUCCUGACGCUGAGGCACGAAGGUCAGGGGAGCAA
rnacentral:rRNA from 1 species